CUGAAAAAAAAAAAGAACACCCAAUCCCCCGAAACCCUAGCCACUACUGUUCCCCAAUCCCUUCUCUUCCUUUCCCUUGUCCUUGCGCCGCCGCCGCUUUUUCUUCCCUCCCCCGCUUCUCCUCGCCGGCGACGACGACUUGCCCCUCGAGCUCUCCCCUAUCCUGCCCAUCUCCUGGCGCUCCCUCCCUCCCUUCGCUUGCAUCCUCACGCCAUCGUCGGCCCCGCCUUCCCCUUCUCAUCUGUUCCCAGCGAUGGCAUGGGGAUCAAUCUGCUGACCCAGGCCCUUCUCUUCUAGCAGGGGGAGUGGACCAUGCGGAGCUAGCUUUGGGGGCACUGUGAUAGAGAUCGAUGGUGUGGCUGUGUGGGGAUCGAUCUGUUGGCCCAUCGCCUGAUUUUGGGUAGGUGCACUCAAGCUCAACAUGAAGUUCUCAAUCCAGUGCGUUGCGCUCGAGGUCGGCAUAGCCGCCGCCGCCGCCUCUCUCCCUCCUAGCUCUCCCUUACGAGAAGGUGAGGGACUGAGUGGAGACCAGAGACAGCGCAACCACUCGAUCCGGUGGGAUGGAGCCUGACCUCGACUUUGGUUCAAGUUGGUGGCGUGCGGCUCUGCAAUUUGAAUUGCGUUCGAUGUUCUACCUCCAGCGUUGAUGGUAAUCCCAGGCACCUUGAGGGCUUGAGGUCGAUAUGGCACAAUUUUGCUACUGGGGAAGAAGAUGUGUUGUUGCAAUGGCCAAAUAAUCACCUCCUUUAUGCUCGAUCCACUCAUGAUCUUCCUCCCAUUCUCUGUCUGCGCCUGCAGUGCUGCUUUUUCCAUGAGAGUACAGCCUCUUCAUUCUUCUCAGCGACUUGCUCUGGUCAGCACCUGGUACUAAUUGUUUGCCACCAUGUCAGAUUGCUAGCAUCUAAAGAUGCAGUUUUGCAUCCAUAUUGCAAUUACAAGGGAUUUCAUACACAAGUACUGCUUUGCUGAAGGAUUCUGCGUUUCAGUGCAGUAGUGGGAUGAAUCAGUGGAAAGUGAAUUAAUUGUUGUUUACUCUUUUACUUAUUACACAGUUAUUUUGUGAGUUUACAUGAUGCUUCUUUGAAAUGAAAAAUCUCCAAGAAUCUGACAAAGCUAGAAACUCAGGUAAGUUUGACAAAUGUCACUAUAUUGUUUUGAUUUUGCACAUGAUUGUGUGAUGAAGUUCGCUUUGUCAGUUAAUUUGUACCCACCGAAGGUUCCAUAUCAGAUCCCACAUGUCUGAAUGCUCAUUUCUACUAUAACCUUCCAUUCCCAAAUUCUUUGUUUCUUUACAUACAUGAGCACUCCUUAAUUUGUUGACAAAUCAAGUUUGCUUCAUAAAUGUAAUAUUGGUAUCGGCAAGUAACAACAAAUCUGAAACUAUUAUUUGCUUUGGAGGUAAACAUGUUCUAUACAUAUAAUUGGGUUGCGUGCUUUUUUUUAUAGGGCAUUGUUAGCAACUUACCAUAUAACAGGACUGUCAGAUUUUUUAUGUGUUGCUUGUUCUUCGCUUUGUACAUGUCCAUUUUGGUAAAUGGUGUACGAUUUUUUUUCUGGACUUAUGUUCUUCAAGCAUUGUAGAGUUGCAGUCUUAUUAGUCAUCUACUACUGUAGCCUUAUCUAUAAUGUGCAUUUUGGAAGUGACGUUUCAGAUUUUGGUAUUAACUAUAAAGACUGAGAACCCAUGCCACAUACUUUGUAGAACUCCCAUGUGUAUUGGAGUAAUGUGAUUAGUUAUCCAAAACAUUAUUGUUCAUCAGAAAUGAUUUCAGUAAUGUAUUACUUGGGCAUAUGACUUUUCUAAAGAGUGUCUUAUCUAACCAACUAGCUUUUCUGUUGCCUCAUAAAAAACAUUUAGUUAAUCAGAGACUAUUUUAGGGGGGAGCUGUCCUACAAAUGAAUUUCUGCUUCAUUAACAUAAGCAGAUGUUUCUUGAUAUCUAUGCUUUUAGGUGCAUGGUCUGCAACAUAUAAUAUAUCAUUGCCACAUAAUGGUACUUAAUUAGCUCUUUUUUACAAAACCGAAUGAUUAGGUCCAUUUGUAUAUAGACUUAUAUAUAUAUAUAUAUAUAUAUAUAUAUAUAUAUAUAUAUAUUUUGUUGCUUGCUCUUUUAAGUAGGAUAAGUUAACAUGGAUUUUGGACUAACUUAUUAGGUGAUUUUAUCUUGCAGAAUUCAAGCUCUAUUUUUGAUCCUCACGUGAUGGCAGGGUUCGAGUUGUAUAGCGGUUUCUGUUAGAAUGAAUACAUUAAGAACAUGUUUACUAAGAUAAAUCCAUUGUUAAAGUUGUAACAUUUCUUACCGACAAUAUGUAAUUUAAAGUGAUUAUAGAAUCUAUCGAUUGUGCUUAUGGCUA